CCCUCUCGAAUUCUCAGCCCUAUUUCUUUAUUCUCAAAUUCUCAGUCUCAGACUCACUCGAUUCAUAACACACACCUCACCUUUUUAAAUUCUGAUUUCUUCAUCUCUUUUUUCUUGCAAGUAUUCUAAUUUAUCUUCAAUUCUAAUUUCUUCAUUUCUCUCUUUCUUGACUAGGGUUUGGAUAUGUGUUUUGUUUGCAAAAAUAGUGACCAUGGCUCAUUAUCUCUCUUUCUUAGAGUGCUUCUCUUUGCUGCCAUUUGCAGGUUUUUUUACUAAUCGUGAAUUGGACUAACGUAAAUCGGGAAAUGCGAAGACAUUGUCCUUUUUUUUGUUUCCUUCCACAAAUUCCACGAAGUUUUUUCAUCCAAAUCUCACAGGUUUUGUCUUGCCAUACUUGAAGAAUAAGUUGCUCCUUUGCAGUUUCCUCAUUGUGCUUUCUUUGAUUUGUGGUGCUUAUUUCGUUGGUGAUGCAUUCGUUGCAAAGGAAUACAAACAAGUAUGCUUUUCUUUCCCCAAGUUUUAAUUUUAAAUUGCUAGAUAGAAAAUUAGGAAUUUUAUAGGAAAUUUUUUUAUGGUGUUGGUACAACGGUGGUUACUUCUUAUAGCUAUAUUAGUAAUGCAGUAGAUAUGUCUCUGGGAAAAAUAUACUGUAUACGAGCUGAUAUUUUCUAGUUGAUUCAGAACAUGUUGCUCACUUUCACAGUUUAAAACUAUCUCUGUAAACAAUUCUUCAAGCUGUUACUUUUUGGUAAAAUGUUGGAAAAAUAUAAUGCUGGUUGAUAUCUGUUCAUUCGAGUAUCAACAAGAUGUAUCUUCUGGCUUGUAUCUGCUGCUUGCAAUUGAUUAAAAAAAUUAAGAAGAUUCAGAAACUUGGACAGUCUAACAAAAUUUUUGUUCUUCUGAUCUUGUCAGAGGAAAAGAACAAUU